rnacentral:rRNA from 1 species
UACAGAGGGUGCAAGCGUUGUUCGGAAUUAUUGGGCGUAAAGCGCGUGUAGGCGGCUUUGCAAGUCGGGUGUGAAAGCCCUCAGCUCAACUGAGGAAGUGCGCCCGAAACUGCAGAGCUUGAGUACCGGAGAGGAUGGUGGAAUUCCCCAAGUAGAGGUGAAAUUCGUAGAUAUGGGGAGGAACACCGGUGGCGAAGGCGACCAUCUGGACGGAUACUGACGCUGGGACGCGAAAGCGUGGGUAGCAAACAGG